rnacentral:rRNA from 1 species
UACGGGGGGGGCAAGCGUUGUUCGGAAUUACUGGGCGUAAAGGGCUCGUAGGCGGCCAACUAAGUCAGACGUGAAAUCCCUCGGCUUAACCGGGGAACUGCGUCUGAUACUGGUUGGCUUGAAUCCGGGAGAGGGAUGUGGAAUUCCAGGUGUAGCGGUGAAAUGCGUAGAUAUCGGGAAGAACACCCGUGGCGAAGGCGGCUCUCUGGGACGGUACUGACGCUGAGACGCGAAAGCGUGGGGAGCGAACAGG